rnacentral:rRNA from 1 species
UGGGGAAUCUUCCGCAAUGGACGAAAGUCUGACGGAGCAACGCCGCGUGAGUGAUGACGGCCUUCGGGUUGUAAAGCUCUGUUAAUCGGGACGAAUGGUUCUUGUGCAAAUAGUGCGAGGAUUUGACGGUACCGGAAUAGAAAGCCACGGCUAACUACGUGCCAGCAGCCGCGGUAAUACGUAGGUGGCAAGCGUUGUCCGGAAUUAUUGGGCGUAAAGCGCGCGCAGGCGGAUUGGUCAGUCUGUCUUAAAAGUUCGGGGCUUAACCCCGUGAUGGGAUGGAAACUGCCAAUCUAGAGUAUCGGAGAGGACAGUGGAAUUCCUAGUGUAGCGGUGAAAUGCGUAGAUAUUAGGAAGAACACCAGUGGCGAAGGCGACUUUCUGGACGAAAACUGACGCUGAGGCGCGAAAGCCAGGGGAGCGAACGGG